rnacentral:rRNA from 1 species
UACGUAGGGGGCAAGCGUUGUCCGGAUUUAUUGGGCGUAAAGAGCGUGUAGGCGGUUUGGUAGGUCCGCUGUGAAAACUCGAGGCUCAACCUCGAGACGCCGGUGGAAACCAUCAGACUAGAGUCCGGAAGAGGAGAGUGGAAUUCCUGGUGUAGCGGUGAAAUGCGCAGAUAUCAGGAAGAACACCCGUGGCUAAGGCGGCUCUCUAGUACGGUACUGACGCUGAGACACGAAAGCGUGGGUAGCAAACAGG